rnacentral:rRNA from 1 species
CACACCAUGGGAGUUGAUUGCUCCAGAAGUGGCUGCGCUAACUCGCAAGAGAAGCAGGUCCCCAAGGAGUGGUCGAUGACUGGGGUG